rnacentral:lncRNA from 1 species
UUCAUAUCAUAAAAUGUCGAACCAUAGAUGAGGCUGGAAUUUCUAAAACAACAUAGUCAUAAGGUAGGCACGGCACAGCCUCCAAGCCAUGAACAAAAUAUACGUAACUAGAUCGCUACACAACUAAUAAAAGGAUAAAUCAACAUCAACUGUUAUUCCUAUAGUAAAAUAGUCCUACCAUACACGCUGAUGAUGAUCUCCUAAUUGUAGGUUGAUGGGAACCUUAGGAUGAUUUGUGCUUUAAUUUUCUAUUCCCAGAAGGUGCCCUGGGUGGUGUCCAUGGUGUGGUUUCUGCUCAUGGGGAGGCUUCUCUCCCUUACCUUUGGGUGGUAUUACAUAUUUGUGUGGCUCACUUAAGAGGUGUCUAUGAGGAGGUUUAGGUUCAUGAGGUGCUCCCUUUCCCUUACCCUUGGAUGGUUUGUCACCGGGGAAUGGUUUCAUGGAUGGCUUACCGUCAGGGAAUCCUUCAACAUGUGGAGGUUUACCCCCUGAGUGUCGUGGAGGUUUAUGUGUGUCCUCAACUUCCACAUUCAAUAGGUGUCUAUGAGGAGGUUUGGGUUCAUGAGGUGCUCCCUUUCCCUUACCCUUGGAUGGUUUGUCACCAGGGAAUCCUUCAACAUGCGGAGGUUUACCCCCUGAAUGUCGUGGAGGUUUACCACCUGAUUGUUGUGGAGGUUUAUGUGUGCCCUCAACUUCCACACUCAAUAGGUGUCUGUGAGGAGGUUUGGGUUCAUGAGGUGCCCCUUUUCCCUUACCCUUGGAUGGUUUGUCACCAGGGAAUCCUUCAACAUGUGGAGGUUUACCCCCUGAAUGUCGUGGAGGUUUACCACCUGAGUGCUGUGGAGGUUUAUGUGUGCCCUCAACUUCCACACUCAAUAAGUGUCUAUGAGGAGGUUUGGGUUCAUGAGGUGCUCCCUUUCCCUUACCCUUGGAUGGUUUUUCACCAGGGAAUGGCUUCAUGGGUGCUUUAUCGGUAGGGAACCCCUCAACAUGUGGAG